GACUCUUCUCGCCCGGUUACUGCCACCUGGUUCUAAAUCAGCACGUCCCCAAAGUGCCUGAGUAUAAGAAGUGUCUGCCAGGCUGAUUGAAAGUGUAGAAUAACAGGUGAAGAAACUGAGGCACAGAGUUAGUUUAUUGCCCUAAUCACAAAGCUACAGGUGGAAGAGGAGGGUUUGAACUCAGAUUUCCUGAAUCCAAAUCUUGGUGAUGUUUAACCUAAGGUGUACUACAUCCUGAGAGCUAGCUGUCCUCAUACUCUAGAGUGGUAGAAGCCUCCCCGCUUAUCUCGGUCUCCUGCUGCCUCAUGCUGCUGCUUGAGUAGUGUGUACAGCUCCAUCAAGUGUUUCACAGUCAUGAACUGAUGCAGAGUUUACCGCUGCCCACCAGAGUCGGAGCCAUGCCUGACCAGGGCUCAGAGAAGUUGCCCACUUCUUCUCCCUGGAGGCAGCCAGUACUGUUAGUUGCCUGUAUAUUCCUCCAGAGAUGUUUUGUGCACAUGAUCUAGGCUGGGCAGAGAGAGCUUUGGGCUGCUUCCUUUUGCAAGCCAAGCACAGCCAUCCGCUCAGUUCAACAUGCGGAAAAUGCACCACCCUCAGGAAACGUGAAUGCAUCUGUGGCUCCGCGGUGAACCCCACAUCUUUGCUCCUCAUGGAGAUGCAGGGACCCAAACCAUUCCACGAGGCCAUCCUCUGGGUGGAUUUCACUCCUGCCCCAUCAGCAGAAAGAGAAAUCUCAUUGACCUAAGAUGGUUGGAGAAGGCCUUUCUGGAGAAUGAACAUUUUUGAUCAGAGUGGAGCAGAGAACAAGAUCCAGUUGGCUUGGCCAAACAUGGGGGAUGUGAUUUUGUGAUUGGACGAGGCUGGGUCUCGUGCCCAGCCCAGGUGGACAGACAGCUGGGUCUGUUACCCCAGGAAGGGGGCGAGGCGGGGGAAUGUGCCAGCACAUACAAACAGCAGCUGCCCUGUCUUCUCCACCCUCCUGGCUCCAUGACCUUGGACAAGUGACUCAAUGGAUAAGGAGCCCAACUUCCACUUCAGUAACACCUUCCUCGAAAAAUUGCUCUCCACUCAGCUCUGGUGUCUGCCGAAUCUCUAAAGGCUAUUUCUGGCUUGAACAGACCCAGGAUCUUCCUGCUUCCACGGGAGCUGCCAUUCCAGGAGGGCCUCCUGGGCACUUCCAUGGGCAAUGUCACCCUCACAACACUGAGAAACGGGUCUCAUCGUUGCCAUUUUACAAACAUGGGAACAGAAGUGAAGUGACUUGCCCAGGUUCCUGUAGGCAGUAAGUGAGCUGCACCAGGGAGCCGUGGAAGCCUCCUCAGCUGGGGAGUGAUGUUUCUGCGUCAUCAAACAUUUAUGACAAGACGGAGCAACACAGAGUGACUUGGAAUGAAUUCAACAGACCAAUAUUUUGAAAUCAGGGUGGCUUGACUUCCUUUAGAGAGAACAGUUCUCCCAUCUCUUCGAGGCAUCAUCCAGAGGAGGAAGAACAGCAAGGUUCCCAGUCCCAGAGAGCACAACUCUGGUCACACGUUCCAACUCACCGACCAUGAAGUAGCUUAACAGUCUUCUUCGAAUAAGUGAGAAGGAAGCUCCAUGUACCGAAGAGAGAGCCCUCCAGACCUGUGGUCAGACCUCGUUUCUCCUAUGACCUUAGGUAAGUCGCUUAGUCUUUUGGGAUCUCAGCUUGUUCAUCAGUAAAAUGGGGAUAACUCUGCCUACAGAUGAGAGGAACACCACUGCAUCACAAGGUCUUUCCAGAUGUCACUGGCCACGCUCUAGCCUUGCUGGCUAACUUGGAGGUGGUAUAACCUAGCAGAAGAAAAGCUAGUCUGUUUCCAGAGAAACAAGUUUAUGUGGGGGAG
rnacentral:lncRNA from 1 species